AAGCUCGUAGUUGAAUUUCGGGUAUUUGUUGCUAGCUGGUCUAACUGGCCAUGUUGGUUAACAGAUCCUCAUUUGCUGGAUGAUUGGCGAUGAUCUUUAUCGAUUGUCGUCAGUUGCCAGAACGUUUACUUUGAGAAAAUUAGAGUGCUAAAAGCAGGCUCACGCCUAUAUAUAUUGCAUGGAAUAAUGAAAUAGAUCUCGAUUUUAUUCGUUGGUUUANAAUUGAGAUGAUGAUUAAGUAGGGAUUAGG
rnacentral:rRNA from 1 species